rnacentral:rRNA from 1 species
GCUUAACACAUGCAAGUCGAGGGGCAGCAUGGUCUUAGCUUGCUAAGGCUGAUGGCGACCGGCGCACGGGUGAGUAACACGUAUCCAACCUGCCGUCUACUCUUGGCCAGCCUUCUGAAAGGAAGAUUAAUCCAGGAUGGCAUCAUGAGUUCACAUGUCCGCAUGAUUAAAGGUAUUUUCCGGUAGACGAUGGGGAUGCGUUCCAUUAGAUAGUAGGCGGGGUAACGGCCCACCUAGUCAACGAUGGAUAGGGGUUCUGAGAGGAAGGUCCCCCACAUUGGAACUGAGACACGGUCCAAACUCCUACGGGAGGCAGCAGUGAGGAAUAUUGGUCAAUGGGCGAUGGCCUGAACCAGCCAAGUAGCGUGAAGGAUGACGG